UACGUAGGGUGCAAGCGUUGUCCGGAAUUACUGGGCGUAAAGAGUUCGUAGGCGGUUUGUCGCGUCGGGAGUGAAAACUCAGGGCUUAACCCUGAGCCUGCUUCCGAUACGGGCAGACUAGAGGUAUGCAGGGGAGAACGGAAUUCCUGGUGUAGCGGUGAAAUGCGCAGAUAUCAGGAGGAACACCGGUGGCGAAGGCGGUUCUCUGGGCAUUACCUGACGCUGAGGAGCGAAAGUGUGGGGAGCGAACAGG
rnacentral:rRNA from 1 species